rnacentral:rRNA from 1 species
UACGAAGGGUGCAAGCGUUGCUCGGAAUUAUUGGGCGUAAAGGGUUGGUAGGUGGUCUUGUUUGUCUAAGGUGAAAUCCCAUGGCUUAACUGUGGAAGUGCCUUAGAAACGGCAAGACUAGAGUCCUAGAGGGGUUUGUGGAAUUCCCGGCGUAGCGGUGAAUGACGUAGAGAUCGGGAGGAACACCAGCGGCGAAGGCGGCAAACUGGAUAGGCACUGACACUCAACAACGAAAGCGUGGGGAGCAAACAGG